GGCCAUAUUGCUAAAUAGUUCUCUAACUAGGCCGGGGUAGGUCGAUGUAUUGAGGGUACAAAGGUGUUCCCAACCUUGGGCACGGAGUCUCUCUCCAAUAGAGAACCCCUCACUAUCUAGAAAAUGAAAAUCUAUGUACCUUCCAGUGGUUACUGUACGAUUCGCACAGGAAAUGGUCGCGGUUGGCGGAGCAACCGGAGGAGACGGCGCGGAAGGCUCUUCCCUCCAUUCCUCACCGUCGGUCGCUGCCCUAGGACGCCUCCCACCAGUCCUCCUAGCUCUUUUAGGUGCCAUUGAAUGGAAAAUCUAGGGAAAUGAGGAGAAAGAGGCUAGGGUUUGUGUUGGAGAGAAAAUGGAGGCUAGGGUUUUUGUUUUUGUCGGGGAUGAAAGGGAUAGCUCGGGUCGGCUCGAGCUGUUUCGACCUAUUUUAAAAACCCUCGUUUGGUCCCCGAG
rnacentral:lncRNA from 1 species